AGUGAACGCUGGCGGUAGGCCUAACACAUGCAAGUCGAACGGCAGCACAGUAAGAGCUUGCUCUUACGGGUGGCGAGUGGCGGACGGGUGAGGAAUACAUCGGAAUCUACUUUUUCGUGGGGGAUAACGUAGGGAAACUUACGCUAAUACCGCAUACGACCUACGGGUGAAAGCAGGGGAUCUUCGGACCUUGCGCGAUUGAAUGAGCCGAUGUCGGAUUAGCUAGUUGGCGGGGUAAAGGCCCACCAAGGCGACGAUCCGUAGCUGGUCUGAGAGGAUAAUCAGCCACACUGGAACUGAGACACGGUCCAGACUCCUACGGGAGGCAGCAGUGGGGAAUAUUGGACAAUGGGCGCAAGCCUGAUCCAGCCAUACCGCGUGGGUGAAGAAGGCCCUCGGGUUGUAAAGCCCUUUUGUUGGGAAAGAAAAGCAGCAGGUUAAUACCCCGCUGUUCUGACGGUACCCAAAGAAUAAGCACCGGCUAACUUCGUG
rnacentral:rRNA from 1 species